GGGGCCAACAAGUGCUAAACACCUCUGGGAACUCCUUCAAGACUGUUGGAAAACCAUUUCAGGACUUCACAAGGCAAUUCAAGAAGCAAACUUGGAUCGGACUGACGGACAGAGAGACAGAGGGAAAGUGGAAAUGGGUGGAUGGGACUCAACUGAACACCAGCUACUGGGGACCUGGCGAGCCUAACAGUAAGGGAGGCA